AGUAAGUUUAAUGGACACAGUAAAAAUUAAAUUAGAUACAUUGCAAGUUUUGAGCACAUUGAUUUAUUAAUCAUCUAUAUGAUGUCAAACAUUUUCCGACAGUCUUUGGAAAAAAUCUGCUACAUACAAGGUUCAAGCACGUCCAUCCUGGGCACAAGUUCUGACUUGCACCAAUCUCCUGUCCAGGACAGAAGCAGCAAAGGAUCUUUUAUAUGCACCAUCCCAUAGACAGGACAGCACAUCCCACAACCUUUGAUAUACCAGCCAUGGGGCAGUGGAUGGAAUGGAGGGAAAACAAUGAUCAAAAUAUGAUUCCACCAAGGGAAUUUGAUCCUGUGACCAAAGCAUCUCAGGAAAUGUCAAAGAAAAAGGUCAAGAACAUUAGGCAAAGAGCCAGAAGACGGAGAUUGCGAAAUAAUACAGAGAUAAUUUCAAGUUGUACUCAAGAAAGUAAUUUCAAAUAGAUGGAUCAUAUACAGCCAGUUGGAUCAACAUACAGAAGUCUAAAACUAUCUCUUCCUACACCAGAAAAACAUGAAAAACGGAUAACUUUUCUAAACCUGAAGCAUACCAGUCUUUUUUUUAAAGACUCUUGGUUUUAUUUAGAUACAUGUAUUUGUGUAGGAAGUCCUUUCAAGGGUGAAUUGUUGUUGGAUCAACAUACAGAAGUCUAAAACUAUCUCUUCCCACCCCCACACCAGAAAAACAUGAAAAACGGAUAACUUUUCUAAACCUGAAGCAUACCAGUCUUUUUUUUUAAAGACUCUUGGUUUUAUUUAGAUACAUGUAUUUGUGUAGGAAGUCCUUUCAAGGGUGAAUUGUUGGUCAGAAUUCUUUAUACUUUAGCAAGACACUGACAGUGAGUGGUAAUGAAUACCAUAUUUAGCAUUAAACGUUAUGGGAAAGAGUUUUGUUGAUUGUUUUAUAUAAAAAACAAUUUUCCUUUAGAAAGUCACAGAAUCAGCUGAUGUUCUUUUGACUGUUUGUACAUACUUCUUGAACUAGAAUGAGGACAAUUUUCAUCUAGCAUCCUGCAAGUUUUCCAUCACUAAAACUGAACCAUCAACUAGAUGUCUUGACUAUCGGUCAAUGGACGAUUUCAACCAUUUACAAAUGAUGUUGUUGUUGAUGGUCUAUGUGGGAGGUCACCUCACAAAGAAAGAUGAGCUUUUAAUUCUGAAUAACAAAUUUCUAAUCGUGUUCAAAACAUGUCGAUGACCUGAAAAAAAACAUAACCAAACAAUCAAGAAGGAAAUGUUUUAUUUAACGACGCACUCAUCACAUUUUAUUUACGGUUAUAUGGCAUCGGACAUAUGGUUAAGGACCACACAGAUAUUGAGGGAAAAAACCUGCUGCCGCCAUUUCAUGGGCUACUCUUUUCAAUUAGCAACAAGGGAUCUUUUAUACUGUAAACCGUAUUAAUAUUGUGGUUUUUUCGCGAAUGUAUACCUUAGCGCAUGUUCGCGACGUGCAAAUUUCGCAAACGACCGUUGACAGCUAAAAAAAAAAGUGGAUAAAGACAGCUCACUGUAAUUGUUAUAAAGUUACUGUGUGUAAAUCAAUAUUCUGUUAUCCUACAUCAAGAA